rnacentral:rRNA from 1 species
UACGGAGGGGGCUAGCGUUGUUCGGAAUUACUGGGCGUAAAGCGCGCGUAGGCGGCUUUGUAAGUUAGAGGUGAAAGCCCAGGGCUUAACCCUGGAAUUGCCUUUAAGACUGCAUCGCUAGAAUCGUGGAGAGGUGAGUGGAAUUCCGAGUGUAGAGGUGAAAUUCGUAGAUAUUCGGAAGAACACCAGUGGCGAAGGCGGCUCACUGGCCCGGUACUGACGCUGAGGCACGAAAGCGUGGGGAGCAAACAGG